GAGUUUGAUCAUGGCUCAGAUUGAACGCUGGCGGCAGGCCUAACACAUGCAAGUCGAGCGGAAACGAGUUAACUGAACCUUCGGGGGACGUUAACGGCGUCGAGCGGCGGACGGGUGAGUAAUGCCUAGGAAAUUGCCCUGAUGUGGGGGAUAACCAUUGGAAACGAUGGCUAAUACCGCAUGAUGCCUUCGGGCCAAAGAGGGGGACCUUCGGGCCUCUCGCGUCAGGAUAUGCCUAGGUGGGAUUAGCUAGUUGGUGAGGUAAGGGCUCACCAAGGCGACGAUCCCUAGCUGGUCUGAGAGGAUGAUCAGCCACACUGGAACUGAGACACGGUCCAGACUCCUACGGGAGGCAGCAGUGGCGAAUAUUGCACAAUGGGCGCAAGCCUGAUGCAGCCAUGCCGCGUGUGUGUAGAAGGCCUUCGGGUUGUAAAGCACUUUCAGUCGUGAGGAAGGUAGUGUAGUUAAUAGCUGCAUUAUUUGACGUUAGCGACAGAAGAAGCACCGGCUAACUCCGUGCCAGCAGCCGCGGUAAUACGGAGGGUGCGAGCGUUAAUCGGAAUUACUGGGCGUAAAGCGCAUGCAGGUGGUUUGUUAAGUCAGAUGUGAAAGCCCGGGGCUCAACCUCGGAAUAGCAUUUGAAACUGGCAGACAAGAGUACUGUAGAGGGGGGUAGAAUUUCAGGUGUAGCGGUGAAAUGCGUAGAGAUCUGAAGGAAUACCGGUGGCGAAGGCGGCCCCCUGGACAGAUACUGACACUCAGAUGCGAAAGCGUGGGGAGCAAACAGGAUUAGAUACCCUGGUAGUCCACGCCGUAAACGAUGUCUACUUGGAGGUUGUGGCCUUGAGCCGUGGCUUUCGGAGCUAACGCGUUAAGUAGACCGCCUGGGGAGUACGGUCGCAAGAUUAAAACUCAAAUGAAUUGACGGGGGNCCGCACAAGCGGUGGAGCAUGUGGUUUAAUUCGAUGCAACGCGAAGAACCUAACCUACUCUUGACAUCCAGAGAACUUUCCAGAGAUGGAUUGGUGCCUUCGGGAACUCUGAGACAGGUGCUGCAUGGCUGUCGUCAGCUCGUGUUGUGAAAUGUUGGGUUAAGUCCCGCAACGAGCGCAACCCUUAUCCUUGUUUGCCAGCGAGUAUUGUCGGGAACUCCAGGGAGACUGCCGGUGAUAAACCGGAGGAAGGUGGGGACGACGUCAAGUCAUCAUGGCCCUUACGAGUAGGGCUACACACGUGCUACAAUGGCGCAUACAGAGGGCGGCCAACUUGCGAAAGUGAGCGAAUCCCAAAAAGUGCGUCGUAGUCCGGAUUGGAGUCUGCAACUCGACUCCAUGAAGUCGGAAUCGCUAGUAAUCGUGGAUCAGAAUGCCACGGUGAAUACGUUCCCGGGCCUUGUACACACCGCCCGUCACACCAUGGGAGUGGGCUGCA
rnacentral:rRNA from 1 species